CUUUGGGAUAACCCUCGGAAACGGGGGCUAAUACCGGGUAUGACUGCGCUCCGCAUGGGGUGUGGUGGAAAGUGUUUAGCGGCUGGGGAUGGGCUCGCGGCCUAUCAGCUUGUUGGUGGGGUGAUGGCCUACCAAGGCGGUGACGGGUAGCCGGCCUGAGAGGGCGACCGGCCACACUGGGACUGAGACACGGCCCAGACUCCUACGGGAGGCAGCAGUGGGGAAUAUUGCGCAAUGGGCGGAAGCCUGACGCAGCGACGCCGUGUGGGGGAUGACGGCCUUCGGGUUGUAAACCUCUUUCAGCUCCGACGAAGCGUAAGUGACGGUAGGGGCAGAAGAAGCACCGGCCAACUACGUGCCAGCAGCCAGGGUAAGACGUAGGGUGCAAGCGUUGUCCGGAUUUAUUGGGCGUAAAGAGCUCGUAGGCGGCUCGUCGCGUCGACCGUGAAAACCCGGGGCUUAACUUCGGGCUUGCGGUCGAUACGGGCGGGCUGGAGUUCGGUAGGGGAGACUGGAAUUCCUGGUGUAGCGGUGAAAUGCGCAGAUAUCAGGAGGAACACCGGUGGCGAAGGCGGGUCUCUGGGCCGAUACUGACGCUGAGGAGCGAAAGCGUGGGGAGCGAACAGGAUUAGAUACCCUGGUAGUCCACGCUGUAAACGUUGGGCGC
rnacentral:rRNA from 1 species